CCUUUCAAUGCAGCAGAAUUGGGAUGGUUGAGUAUCUCGCCCUCUCCGUUUCUGCCUGUAUUUCUACCCCUUGUUUGUCAUAUACUAUUAUUUCCUCGGCAGGCUUGCCUGCCGAAGUAGUGAAAACCAAUUUAAUAACCUUUUUUAAUUUUCAUCAGCGUCUGAAAAAAAUUAAUAAUUAAUAC
rnacentral:misc_RNA from 1 species